UCGACCAAUGAGAUAAGCGGUAAUCUGAAUUGUCAUACUCGAAUUGUCAUAAGUGUGCUGUCAGCUCAUUGGUCACAAAGCAGGAGAGGGGCUGGGAAUUAUGUUUUCAAACAAAGCGUUAAUUCCAUUAACAUUUAUAGACUACUUUUGAUUCUCACUGUAUUACGGGACAAAGUGCGUCCCUUAUUAGCUCAAUACGGGACAUGUACUUUUGUUUCUAAAUACGGGACGAUUCCGUUUUUAAGGGACGGUUGGCAACCCUACCCCUGUGUUAAGGGAAAAGUUCUGACAAAAGCUACACCAGUAAAUCAUGGAGGGUUUGGAUGAUUGCAGCCUUUCGGUUCUAAAUGCUGCCAACAUAGAUGAGGUCUUGCUCCACACCCUCAGUGGGGACGAUUUAAGGGACCUGCUUCCAGGGCCUGAACAUUUUAUGAGGAGGAAACAGUUGUGGGCUCAUGUUCACAAAGAGGAUGAAACUAAAGAAAAGGCGUCUCAUGGAUAUCUCACCAUGUGACCAGGGAGAAGAUUAUGAUGCAGAUUCAAGUGGUGGAUCAAACAUGCUUUUGCCACCAAGGAGCAGUUCUGGUGACAACAGUUCCCUGUUCAGGGCACUCCCAACUCUUUUCCCAUCAUGAGCUGCACCACCCAAGAAGAUGGGACAUGCCAGUGAAGCACUGAUUCAUGUCCUUCAGAAGAUCCAGCGUCAGCCCUGUUCUGCUGUCUUAUUGCAGUUGGAACCACUCCCAUCACCACAUUUGCCACAGAUGACCUUGGAGAAGGUUUGAUGUAUCUUAUGGCAUACUACUACACACUGCAUCUUACCUAUCCCAAAUGUGUGGCAACGCUUCUGUCUGUCAUUCAGACUGAAGUGUUAAAGGACAAAAUCCAUGAACACGACACCACAGGCUCAUACAAAAAAGUCAUGGCAGGCUGUAGAAAUUGUUAUUGAAACGUAGAGCUGUUUGAGCAAGAUGUAACUUAGGUCUGUGUUGGAAGGUUUGGACCUGAUAGCUUUGAAGUUGCAAUUUACACUUGAAUUCUUUGUAUUACAUUAAUAAGAAUAAAAAAAGUGAUUUUUUUCUUUAAACACAUCUGUUCUGCAAAUUCUGUUUAAAAUUGCAAAUGCUCUUUUUAUUACAUUUUAUAUGUUGAGUAGCUAACUUCUAAAAGGAACACAAAAUAACAAUGUUACACUUACAAUGUGUCUUU